rnacentral:rRNA from 1 species
AGAGUUUGAUCAUGGCUCAGGACGAACGCUGGCGGCGCGCUUAACACAUGCAAGUCGAACGGGUGUCCUUCGGGGCACCAGUGGCGGACGGGUGCGUAACACGUAAGCGACCUGCCUUCAGGUGGGGGAUAACCCCGGGAAACCGGGGCUAAUACCGCAUGUGUUCUCCGGGCUGCAUGGCCUGGAGAAGAAAGCUCCUCGCAAGGGGAGCGCUUGAAGAGGGGCUUGCGGCGUAUCAGCUAGUUGGCGAGGUAACGGCUCACCAAGGCGACGACGCGUAGGGGGUCUGAGAGGACGGCCCCCCACAUUGGGACUGAGAUACGGCCCAGACUCCUACGGGAGGCAGCAGUGGGGAAUCUUGCGCAAUGGCCGAAAGGCUGACGCAGCGACGCCGCGUGCGGGAGGAAGGCCUUCGGGUCGUAAACCGCUGUCGGGAGGGAAGAACUCCACCGGGAGGUAAUGCCUGGUGGCUGACGGUACCUCCAAAGGAAGCACCGGCUAACUCCGUGCCAGCAGCCGCGGUAAUACGGAGGGUGCAAGCGUUGUUCGGAAUUAUUGGGCGUAAAGCGCGCGCAGGCGGCCGCAUAAGUCCAUGGGUGAAAUGCCGGAGCUCAACUCCGUGCGUGCCCAGGAUACUGUGCGGCUGGAGACACGUAGAGGCAAGCGGAAUUCCGGGUGUAGCGGUGGAAUGCGUAGAGAU